rnacentral:tRNA from 1 species
GCCAGCAUAGUGUAGUGGUUUAAGCAUUGGACUAUGACUCAAUAGACCAGGGUUCAAAUCCCUGCUUGGCC